rnacentral:rRNA from 1 species
AGGACGAACGCUGGCGGCGUGCUUAACACAUGCAAGUCGAGCGGAAAGGCCACUUCGGUGGUACUCGAGCGGCGAACGGGUGAGUAACACGUGAGUAAUCUGCCCCUGGCUUUGGGAUAGCCACCGGAAACGGUGAUUAAUACCGGAUAUGACGCGGACUCGCAUGGGUUUGUGUGGAAAGUUUUUCGGCCAGGGAUGUGCUCGCGGCCUAUCAGCUUGAUGGUGAGGUAAUGGCUCACCAUGGCUUCGACGGGUAGCCGGCCUGAGAGGGUGACCGGUCACGACUGGGACUGAGACACGGCCCAGACUCCUACGGGAGGCAGCAGUGGGGAAUAUUGGACAAUGGGCGAAGCCUGAUCCAGCAACGCCGCGUGAGGGAUGACGGCCUUCGGUUGUAAACUCUUCAGUACCGACGAAGCGCAAGUGACGGUAGGUACAGAAGAAGCACCGGCAACUACGUGCAGCAGCCGC